rnacentral:rRNA from 1 species
UACGUAGGUGGCAAGCGUUGUCCGGAUUUACUGGGCGUAAAGAGCGCGCAGGCGGUCGUUCCAGUCGAGUGUGAAAGCCCCCGGCUCAACUGGGGAGGGUCACUCGAUACUGAUCGACUCGAAGGCAGAAGAGGGAAGCGGAAUUCCCGGUGUAGUGGUGAAAUGCGUAGAUAUCGGGAGGAACACCAGUGGCGAAGGCGGCUCUCUGGGACGGUACUGACGCUGAGACGCGAAAGCGUGGGGAGCGAACAGG